rnacentral:rRNA from 1 species
GAUGAACGCUGGCGGCGUGCCUAAUACAUGCAAGUCGAGCGAACAGAUGAGGAGCUUGCUCCUCUGACGUUAGCGGCGGACGGGUGAGUAACACGUGGAUAACCUACCUAUAAGACUGGGAUAACUUCGGGAAACCGGAGCUAAUACCGGAUAAUAUAUUGAACCGCAUGGUUCAAUAGUGAAAGACGGUUUUGCUGUCACUUAUAGAUGGAUCCGCGCCGCAUUAGCGAGUUGGUAAGGUAACGGCUUACCAAGGCAACGAUGCGUAGCCGACCUGAGAGGGUGAUCGGCCACCCUGGAACUGAGACACGGUCCAGACUCCUACGGGAGGCCGCAGUAGGGAAUCUUCCGCAAUGGGCGAAAGCCUGACGGAGCAACGCCGCGUGAGUGAUGAAGGUCUUCGGAUCGUAAAACUCUGUUAUUAGUGAAGAACAAAUGUGUAAGUAACUAUGCACGUCUUGACGGUACCUAAUCAGAAAGCCACGGCUAACUACGUG